CUGGGGUACUCGAGUGGCGAACGGGUGAGUAACACGUGGGUGAUCUGCCUUGCACUUCGGGAUAAGCUUGGGAAACUGGGUCUAAUACCGGAUAGGAACCGUCUUUAGUGUGGUGGUUGGAAAGUUUUUCGGUGCAAGAUGAGCUCGCGGCCUAUCAGCUUGUUGGUGGGGUAAUGGCCUACCAAGGCGUCGACGGGUAGCCGGCCUGAGAGGGUGUACGGCCACAUUGGGACUGAGAUACGGCCCAG
rnacentral:rRNA from 1 species